AAUAUAUCAAGAGUGGCGACGAGAGAAUUGGCUUGACGACUCGCUCAGCAACCUUCAAACGAAAGGUGCUAAAUCCAACCAAGUGUUGCAUAGGCAAUAUGAGGAAAGAUAAGUA
rnacentral:ncRNA from 2 species